rnacentral:tRNA from 1 species
AUCUAAUUAGUAUAAAAAGUAUUAUAGACUUCCAAUCUUUAGGUCUAAGCAUUAGAUUAGAUA